rnacentral:rRNA from 1 species
AAAUUGAAGAGUUUGAUCAUGGCUCAGAUUGAACGCUGGCGGCAGGCCUAACACAUGCAAGUCGAACGGUAGCACAGAGAGCUUGCUCUCGGGUGACGAGUGGCGGACGGGUGAGUAAUGUCUGGGAAACUGCCUGAUGGAGGGGGAUAACUACUGGAAACGGUGGCUAAUACCGCAUAACGUCGCAAGACCAAAGAGGGGGACCUUCGGGCCUCUUGCCAUCAGAUGUGCCCAGAUGGGAUUAGCUUGUUGGUGAGGUAACGGCUCACCAAGGCGACGAUCCCUAGCUGGUCUGAGAGGAUGACCAGCCACACUGGAACUGAGACACGGUCCAGACUCCUACGGGAGGCAGCAGUGGGGAAUAUUGCAC